GAUGGACGCUGGCGGCGUGCCUAAUACAUGCAAGUCGAGCGAACGGACGAGAAGCUUGCUUCUCUGAUGUUAGCGGCGGACGGGUGAGUAACACGUGGAUAACCUACCUAUAAGACUGGGAUAACUUCGGGAAACCGGAGCUAAUACCGGAUAAUAUUUUGAACCGCAUGGUUCAAAAGUGAAAGACGGUCUUGCUGUCACUUAUAGAUGGAUCCGCGCUGCAUUAGCUAGUUGGUAAGGUAACGGCUUACCAAGGCAACGAUGCAUAGCCGACCUGAGAGGGUGAUCGGCCACACUGGAACUGAGACACGGUCCAGACUCCUACGGGAGGCAGCAGUAGGGAAUCUUCCGCAAUGGGCGAAAGCCUGACGGAGCAACGCCGCGUGAGUGAUGAAGGUCUUCGGAUCGUAAAACUCUGUUAUUAGGGAAGAACAUAUGUGUAAGUAACUGUGCACAUCUUGACGGUACCUAAUCAGAAAGCCACAGCUAACUACGUG
rnacentral:rRNA from 1 species